rnacentral:rRNA from 1 species
UACGUAGGUCCCGAGCGUUGUCCGGAUUUAUUGGGCGUAAAGCGAGCGCAGGUGGUUUAUUAAGUCUGGUGUAAAAGGCAGUGGCUCAACCAUUGUAUGCAUUGGAAACUGGUAGACUUGAGUGCAGGAGAGGAGAGUGGAAUUCCAUGUGUAGCGGUGAAAUGCGUAGAUAUAUGGAGGAACACCGGUGGCGAAAGCGGCUUUCUGGCCUGUGACUGACACUGAGGCUCGAAAGCGUGGGGAGCAAACAGG